rnacentral:tRNA from 1 species
GGGUGGGUAGCUCAAUGGUUAGAGCUUAGGUCUCGUAAACGAAAGGUCCCGGGAUCGAAUCCCGCUAGAGGCA